UUGCCAAACCUACCAUGAGAAAGGGAAAAAGGCAACUCAUUUCCAAUUUUAUUUUUUUUUAUCUCCAAACGCGAAUGUUUGUUGCGAACAACGUCGUGGACGACACUUAAGAAUUCCAAACACCACCGAGAUAAGACGAAACGUAAUACAUAUACCGGGUUCUUUUUGUUUUGAGAUAUUAAAAAAAAUAAUUAGCAUUAAUUUUUUUCCUCCGAUAUCACUUCAAAAAAAAUUUAAAUAAAAAAAAAAAAACAAUUCAAAAUAUAUAGCGCCGCAAAACAUACGACUCCGAGUGGCUGACUGACAGACUUCUCACAACAUCAUAGAGACUGGCUGGCUAUGUUAAGCGACCGUCCGACCGCCUGAAGGAAAGCAAACAAUCUACUGACGCUAUACUGCGGCAUAAAGUGUAGUUGUUGCUACUGCUGUUGCUUCUUCUUCGUCAUCGCUGUCUUCGCUGCUGCCGCUCGCUGGUGGUGGAGGUUCAUUAUUGGAAUAAAGUUUAUAUUUGCACCUCGA